rnacentral:lncRNA from 1 species
CAAAACAAAACACCUUUUUCCUCCUCCAAAAACACUAUUGUUUUCAGCCCCAAAAUCGCAGCCAAACCCAGCUGCGAAACAGUUCCAAAAUCACUCCAAAACACCACCGUUUACAACUGAAAACGCAGCAAAAUGGCCAUUGAAAAUAGCUCCAAAAGGUCACAAAAAAUCAGCUAAAAGGCAGCCAUAACCGACGUCAAAACGAGCUCUGAAAAGCAGCUCCAAGAUAGCCCUAAACCAGCCCAACAAACAUGUCAAAACUAAGCCAAAACUCAAUGAAAACGAGAUCUAAAGCAGCUCCCCUAGAACAGCCCCGCAACCACAUGAAAACACCCUCCAAUCUCGAUUAAAGUCGACCCCAAAACAGCUGUGAGAGACCAUCCAAAACGCCGCUAAAAUACAGCCUUCAAAUUCGUCCAAACAUCAUCAUCUUCAUCCCAAAAACGCUGCUAGUUGCAGCUGGAAAUCACCCAGAAAAACAGCUUCAACAUAAUUGCAAAAUCAGUCCCGAAAUCAUCGCUAAAGUGAGGGAGCGUUCGAAUUUUCCGGUUCAAGGUUCGGAUCAGUAGCUCGUUCUCCCAUCUAUUGGUUCCUUUUAAUCUUACAUGUAUGUGAGGUUUUGUUUGGCAUGCUUUCUGUUGAAUAUGUUGAUUGUUUGAUUAUUGGAUAGAUGUAUCUUGUAUUAGUAAUUAUGUUGAGUUAAAUUGGUUAGAGUGAAUAAGACAAUCUGUUAUUAAUUGAGCAAAUAUCGUUGAUUAACAAGUCAUCUCACUGGAUUAGACUUUAUUUUAGGUUAAACUAAUUUGUAAAGUUGAAAAUUAAGAGUUAGAAGUAGGGAUGUUCAGAAUUUGGUAAAUACCGAAUUAUCGUACCGAAGCCAAAACUUUUGGUAUUUGGUAUUCUAUAUUUUGGUAUUCGGUAUGGUAUUUGGUUUAACUUUAAAAAAAUAUUGGUAUUAGGUAUGGUAUUUGGUAUUUUAAAAUAAAAUACUGAAAUACCGAUACCGUACUAAAAUAUAUAUUAUAUUACACAAUACACAUAUUAGUAAUUAUAACAUAAAUAUAAAAAUCUAAAGUUUUACUUUCCUUUAUUUUCUAAGUUCAUCAAUUAACUCUAAGCAAAUAACAAGACAUUUCUUAUGAUCAAAAUUUUAUUUUAUGUACAGUUUUCUCUCUUGAGUUGAUAUUUGCUAGUUCUAGACAAAUUUUUUAUCAACAAAUAUUUUAAGUUUUGUAUUUUUGAGUACUUUAAUUUAGAAUAUUAUAGUCUAUGACUAUAUGCACUAGUUAGUAUUCAAACCGAAUAAACCGAUGUUACCAAACCAAAUAAACUGAACCGAAAGGAGAAAAUCCGAACCAUACAGAAUUUAAUUAGGUACGGUAUUGGUAUUACAUUUUAAGAAACAGAAUACUGAAAAUAUCGAACCGAAAUAUCUAAAUACCGUACCGUACCAACCGACGAACACUCCUAGUUAGAAGGAUUGUUAGCUUGGCCGAAGCUUAUCACCAUAAUUGUGUGAUGACCCAAAAUGUCAUCUUAUAUUUUAGAACUCGAAUUUGUGCUCUUAAGCCUUAAAAAUUGUAUUUUUACCCUCCUCGAUUUAGGUGCGCAGUCCGGGCAGGUUUUCGGAAAGCUUUUAUGUUGAAAAUUAAUGAAAAUAAGAAUUUUGCCUUAAAAAUUGAUUUUUAGUUGACUUCGGUCAAUAUUUUUGGUAAACUGAUCCGGAUCCAUGCUUUGACAGUCUCGGUAAGUCCGUAUCGAAUUAUGGGACCUGGACGUAUGCCCGGAAUUGAAUUCGGAGGUCCCUAGCUCAAGAUAUGAAUUUUUGAUGAAAAUUAAAAGUUUAAAAAUUAAUUAUUUCUAAGAAUUGAUUGAUAUUUGGCAUUGUUAGUAUCGGGUCCGUAUUUUGAUUUCGGAGCCCGGAACAGUUUCAUUAUGAUAUUUAAGACUUGUCUGUGAAAUUUGGUGAGAAGCGGAGUUGAUUUGAUGUGAUUCGGACGUCCAGUUGUGAAGUUAUGGAUUUUAAAGUGUUCUUGAGAAUUCCAUUUGAUUUGGUGCUAAAUUCGUAGUUCUAGGUGUUAUUUUGGCGAUUUGAUCGCACGAGCAAGUUCGUAUGAUAUUUUUAGACUUGUUUGCAUGUUUGGUUUGGAUCCCCGAGGGCUUGGGUGAGUUUCGGAUAGGCCACGGGGUGUUUUAGACUUUGGAAAUCUAGUUUUUCCUGCAAAAUCUUUAUUCUGGCAUGUCCUUCUUCGCAUUCGCGAAGGCACUCUUGCGAACGCGAAGCGUAAUCUAGUGAGGCUGAGAAUACUUCUUCGCGAACGCCCUUCUUCGCAAACGCGAAGGCCUAGUCGCGAACGCGAAGUGAUGGGGGGAUUUACCCUUCGCAAACGCGACCUACUCAUCGCGAACGCGAAGCACUUAGGGACUUGGGGGAGGGUUGGUCGUUCCUUCAUCGCGAAAGUGAGCAACGUCUCGCGAACGCGAAGGCCAAGGGGCGUAACCAUCAUGAAUGCGAGCAACGUCUCUCGAACGCAAAGGCCAGGGGGCGUAACCAUCGCGAACGCGAGCUGGGUCUAGCGAACGCGAAGGCUUGGCAGCCAGUACCCAUCGCGAACGCGAAAGUGGCCUUGCGAACGCGAUGCACACUGUCGCCCAGUGCAUAAAACAGAAUCAAACACGUGUUUAAGCCAUUUCUUCAACAGUUUUCAAGAACCAAACGGGUAGAGGCGAUUUUUAAGAGCCAUUUGCUUCCCCAAAGUAUUGGUAAGUGAUUCUAAACCAUUUUCUUUCAAUUACCCACUACAUUUCUUGAAUUUUCAACCAAAUAUCUAGAGUUUUCAUGGUAGAAUUAGGGGUUAGGGUAGAAAAUAGGGAUUUCAGAAAUUUGGGGAUUUAGACCUCAAUUUGAGGUCGGAUUCCAAAACUAAUUACAUAUUCGGGCUCGGGGGUGAAUGGGUAAAACGAUUUUGGUCCGAACCUCGGGUUUUGACCAAGCGGGCCCGGGGUCAAUUUUUCGACUUUUUGGAAAAAAAGUUGGAAGAAUUUAAUUUAAGCAAUAUAAUUGAUUCCUUUAGCAAUAUUUGAUAUUAUUGAGUCAUUUUUGAAUAGAUACGACUAGUGUGGAGGUGAAUUCCAAAGGAAAAGCCGUGAUUGAGGAUUUAGUGACCUUCGGAGCCAGGUAAGUGUCGUGUCUAACUUUGGCUUGAGGGAAUAGGUAUUGUGUGAGUAUUUGCUAAGUGUUUUGUUGUUGAAUACGAUGUAUAGUUGAGGUGACGAGCAUGUAUACGUUGCGGUCGAGUCAUAGCAUGCGAGUGAAAUUCCAUUCUUGAAAUUUUGUAGUCUUAAAUCUUGCCAUCCAUGCUUAUUGUUGUUGUUGAAAUGUUGGAAGACUUGUAUCCGGUUCCACCAAGGUCGAUAAAAUUGUGAAUGUUGAUUCGAGGUUGAGAUGUUAAAUUGUUAAAGUAAUCAUUUAUGAAAUAUUGAUUUCUUGUGAAAUUUCUCUCUAUCCUUUGUUAUUGAUUUAAUUAUAUUGUAAGGAAGAGUGUAAAGCACGAAGGGUGAUACCGUGUAUAAUUUAAUUAUAUUGUGAGGAAGAGUAUAAAGCACGAAGGGUGAUGUCGUGCAUACUUUAAUUAUAUUGUGAGGAAGAGUGUAAAGCACGAAGGGUGAUGCCGUGUAUAAUUUAAUUAUAUUGUGAGGAAGAGUGUAAAGUACGAAGGGCGAUGCCGUGUAUAAUUUAAUUAUAUUGUGAGGAAGAGUGUAAAGCACGAAGGGUGAUGUCGUGCAUUAUUUAUUUUAUAUUGUGAGGAAGAGAGUAAAAGCACGAAGGGUGAUGUCGUGCAGUUUUCCUUGCUGUCUUGAUUGCUCAAUUCGUUUAAGGAUUUUCGAUUUAAUUAUAUCCUUUCAGUAUUCUCACUCUUUAUAUUGUAUUCCCCCACUGUAUGUUCCCCUCCCAUUAUUUCUGCAUUAUUGUUUUACUUAUUGUUAUUGCCUCUAGCAUGAUUAUACUGUUCAGGUUAUAUGUGGGUGUCUUGUCUUAGCCUCGUCACUACUUCGCCGAGGUUAGGUUCGACACUUACCAGUACAUAGGGUCAAUUGUACUGAUGCUGCACUCUGCACUCUUUAUGCAGAUUUUGAAACCGGCUCUGGUUGAUCGAGAUUUGCUACUGGUCCAUUGUCUAGAGACUCAAGAUAGAUUUGUC